rnacentral:sRNA from 1 species
UCAAGAAGACGAGUGGCCUAGGCUAGUGACUUCCAUUGCACUUAAAGGAAGGGUGCUUAGCCUAAGGUCUUCCCAUGUGGAAGAGCCUGCGUCAUUAUUUGUGGCAGAGGGGGUUUGCGUUCGCGCAGCCCCUACCAUUCUCAGUCUUCAAAUGUUUCUAUUAUUUCAUUGCUAAUUUUGGUUAUUCCUUCACUUUUAUUGUUCUUGCAACACAUUCUAAAAUCCUUAUGGAUAUGUAGUAUGGACGAAUGUAUGCUAUAAAGAAAGGGCGAGUAUUGAUCCAUGACCCAUCCCUAAAAGUAUUCAUUUAUUUUUUGUUUGGCUCUCUUAAUGGGUUGGUGGAAUGUGUGUAUAUGAGAUAAACACUCUUCUAUUGAAUGAUUUAUGAUUGAA